rnacentral:rRNA from 1 species
AGAACUUUGAAGAGAGAGUUCAAGAGUACGUGAAACCGUUCAGGGGUAAACCCGAGGAACCCAAAAGAUCGAAGGGGGAGAUUCAUCGUCAGCGGUGCAGGCUACGCGAUGACGUACGAUGUCGCGGAUUACGGUCCGACGGCACGUGGUCAUUGUGUAUUGUCCGGUAACGUCGACGUGCACUUCUCCCCUUGUAGAACGUCGCGACCCGUUGGGUGUCGUUCUAAGGCUCGGACGGGAGACUGUCUCGUCGCUUCACGGCGCAUCGAGAUAGACCACCGAUCGCCAGUAACGGCUGCCCGGCGGUACGCACAUGGUAUCGAGCCGCAUCAUAAAUUAAUUUAGAUUGCGUCGGACCCGCCGCAAGCGCGGCCAGUGUUUUACCGGGAUUUCGGACCUAGCGCCGUCCCCGGUCCUGGCCAGCUGUUGGUUGGCGGUGUUCUCCGACCGGCCAAUAUACCGGUCAGCGACGCUACUGCUUUGGGUAAUCUCAGGACCCGUCUUG